rnacentral:lncRNA from 1 species
UUCUAGGGCCGCUUCCGCAGCCUACGGAGGUUCCCAGGCUAGGGGUCUAAUCAGAGCAGCAGCCACAGGCCUACACCAGAGCCACAACCACACCAGGUCCGAGCCGUGUCUGCGACCUACACCACAGCUCACGGCAACGCCGGAUCCUUAACCCACUUAGCAAGGCCAGGGAUCAAACCUGCAACCUCAUGGUUCCUAGUCGGAUUCGUUAACCACUGCACCGCGAUGGGAACUCCCCUAUUUACCUUUAUUUAGGAAGGGAGACAGCCAGCUCAUGGCCCCUCGUCUCGCUCAUGGCCCGAACUCAGGCUCACGACACGGUUCCGCGAGGAGGGCAUGGCUCCCGCGGUAGCUCAACCUGAGCACCCACCUCAGGAGAGCCUGACGGGUAUGGGAUCUGCAGCCACGUGUUUGAUGUAUUUGGGCCUCAGCCCUUGCUGAUGAAACUGGAAGAUAAUUCAUUCGAUUCCACAGGGCUGUGGAGAAUCUGAAAUAUGGAAACAUCAAACACAUACCGCCUUUUGACAAACACCUUCUUCCCCUCCAGCUCUUUGCAAGACUGCAAAUUACACGUUCAGAGGAAUUAGCCUACUUGUUUUAAGCUGGGGUGACACCGCUGACAAGCGUUGAGCAUUUAGUCCCGAAUAUCCCCUUUCCCCUCUAUGAUGCAAAAGCCUUAUCAGUGACGCUUUUGACAACUCGGAGGGAACUGGCUCCGAGGGUUUUAUGACAGUUAGAUGGACAGUUCAGAAGCACACAGUCCUCUGGGUUUUACGACAGGCAAUCCUCGCAGCCUCUCCUGCAGCUUUAAAAGAGUCCUGGGACUCUCUUGCUCCUGCACUUUACACAGACAUAGAACAUCUCCAGCCCGACGGUGCCUAAAACACUCACGAGGGCUCCGGCUCUCGGCGUGGGGAAAGAAUGAAUCAGUUUUGACCCUGACAGCCUAUCUCCUAGAAGAAAUCCUCUGCCGCUUUCUAUUUUCUUCUCGGACCACGUGGCUUCUGUUCUCUUUGGAUGUGAGGCACACGUGUUCUUGCUUAGGAAGAGCACACCUGCCCAUGGACCAACGUGCCACACGAGGAAAAGACUCUGAUUUCUUUCCUGCUGAGGUUCACUAACCUUAGAUUAUGUGGGCAAGGUGGAAAGGGUACAGCCUAUGGUGAGUAGCAGAAUUGGACCCUAAGGGCUGGUACACAGGCGCUUAUCACUUGGAGACGUCUAGACCGCUUGAUGGGUGGAUUCAGGGAACGGCUUCCUGCUGAGGCUGGACGUCUCUCUCGCCUUCAACUGCUGAUGACUCCAGAUCUGCUCCAUGAAUAGCAAGUGGGUUUGUGAGGCUAAAUGAAUAACUCCAAUAUUUAGAGUUGAAGUAGCAUGGCUUGGAGGGUGGAACAAGUCCCAAGUUUAGCACCAGAAGGGAGGCCACUGACUUUUCCCUGCUGGAAAGGGAGAGAGCCCUGCUACACCACAAAUGUCAUCACCGCAGCGUGCCUGGGGAUGACCUGGAACAGGCUGCCUGUCUGUUUUCAACAGAAAUCAUCAGUUUGGAUGCACUGGCAGCGAUAGCGGGUAGAUUGGCAGCGCCGGGCAGGGAGCGUUUCCAAGAUGGAGACCUGCCAGUCAUGUGUGACUCGCAGUGGGACGAGGCUGGCAUCUGCAGCAGCCCCACGCAGGGCCAGGAGAGCGUGACUCGGGGGGCGGGGGUGAGAGUGGGGGGAGGGAUGCCUAAAUCAGACACCCAGCAUGAGACGGGGGCAGGUGUUUGGUGUUCUCACAGCAGGGAUGGCGAGGGUGCUGGUAACUAAAGGUGGGAAACCUGCAUAUACAGCGAGGGUCCAAAUUUGCCUCUUCCAUAUCUGCAGUAGUGUCCGCAGCAAACUCCUGUUUCCCGAGUCCUCGCAUCUGACUAAGCUUAAGAGUAAGAGAAAGGGGAGUUCCUGCUGUGGUGCAGUGGGAUAAGAAUCCAGCUGCAGCAGCUCAAGUGCCUGCAGAGAUGUGGGUUCAAUCCCUGACCCGGGGCAGUAGUCAAAGAAUCUGGUGUUGCCGCAGCAGUGGCACAGGGCACAGCUGUGGCUCAGAUUCACUCCCUGGCCUAAGAACUUCCAUGAGCCUUGGGUGUGGCCAUUAAAAAAAGAGAGAGAGCGAAAAUAAUAGAAAGGUGACUUUCAAGUUCUAAGAUGCAGUUUGUGAGUUGGUAUAACUUGACUAUUCUAAAAGAUUAUUAAACACACACAAAACUAUUUUGGGGGGUAGAAAAAGGAUAAGGUGGUAAAAUGAAGAUAAAUAAUGCCCCCAAAACAAAAGAACGUUUUCAAUUAAAUCCAAUCCAUCUUUUAUUCUGCUCGGAUAGCCACCACAGCUUUUUACAUAACCCUCAACUCUUCCUACAGGUGUCUUUCCUCAGCUGCCAAUUUUAAAAGGAAAAUACCAAAUGCUUUGGUGUUGUAUUGUUUUUCCCACGGUGGGGUGGCAAUCUAAGUUGUUAUUUAGCAUCUCAUAAACGAACAGACAAAUCCAAAGGAUCACUGAAUCAGAAUUAAACCAAACCCCCAGGUACUAAUGAUUAUGAAGAGCAGUUUGCAGGAGUUCCCUAUUAACCACCUACCACACGGGGCCACAGGGCACAGCUGGCAAUCUGAGUAACUCUUUCAAGGCUGACUCCUGGGGUCACAUCUAACAGUGUAGCUGGGACCGAGGGGCCCAAGAUGACCUCACACCAUUUGAGGCACAGGUGGGGCUGUUUGAUCACGCUCAUGAUUUUCUGAAUGCUUUUGCUCUGACAGUGUGUGCUGACACCACCUUACAGCUUUCCUAACUAUUAGCAGAAGGUCUUACAGAGGCACCAUAGUUUCACUGGUAGCCUGAGGUCUCAUAAGACUAUGAUGAGGUUUCCUGACGAGGGAGAUGGGGCUGAGGUGAUGUUAUUUUCUGAUACAAAAAACUAUUGUUCCUUCUUAGUUCAUCAACUCUGUUUAAAAGGUACAGUUCUAUUUUUGUACCAUCCCUCUCUUUCCAGAUCUGACCCCAUGAUACUAAAAGAAGCCAAUCAGCUUUGCAACAUUCUCCCUGAAAGCCUCCUCAGGCAGAGCCAACAGUUCACACUAGCUUCCAAACUGCCACUGCAACAUUUUGGCCAACUUUCCUGCCACUAAAUAACAACAGUCGUCUUUUCUCCAGCCUCUCGUGGUUUUCUCAGGGCCUUUGUCGUCUCCAGGAGCAGCUUCUUUGAAACCCUUCUGGAUUCGUCCCAUCUCCAAGUCCCAAAGUCAACAUCACAUGCUUUAGAAUCAUUUUAAAAUGAUUAUUAAUAUAGCAAUGCUGCACUUACACACACUGGUGUCUACAGUGUGCAUUUAAAAAAAAUCUGAAAACUUAGUGGCUUAAGACACUAACACGCAUUUUUUUUUCAAGAACCGAUAGUACGUUUCUUCUGGUCUUGCCUGGGGUCACUGAUGUGGCUCUAGUUACCUGGAUGCCUCGAUGGGGGUUGGAAGAUGAGUAACGACCUCAUUCACAAGCCCGAGACCUCACCGGGGGGGAUGGAUUGGUGGUGAUGUCUGGGCUUCCACCUCCACCUGGUCUUUAACCCCAGAUAUCGUCACAGUGAAAAUGGAAGUUCUGGCUCCUGUGUAGCAAAAACCCUGACUUUGCAGGGAAGCAUCUGGUGGUUGGUCUGAGGCUACUCUUUGUGAAAGGAGUCAGCAGUCAGAAAAAAUGGUGCAACGUAACACAGAAGAGGAUGGGGACAAGAUCUAACCCACCAGGUACCUCCGGUUGGUGCCACAUCACAUCUGACUACCAGGAACUUCAGAGAGUGACUGACAUGGCCACACUUCUGCUUUCUAAGCCACAUGCAAGCUUUCGUUUGGCCAACGCUAACCUGAAAGCAUUCCAGGAGGGGUCACUGGGAAACACCAAUCCCAGCUUACCCAGGUUGAGACAAAACAAACGACCAUAUUUCUUUCUUUAAAAAACACUUUUUGGAGUUUCCUUGGGGCACAGUGGGUUAAGGACCCAGUACUGUCACUGCAGGAAAAAAAAAAAAAAAAGAAGUUCCCAUUGUAGCACAGCAAAAAUGAAUCUGACUAGUAUCCAUGGGGAUGCGGUUUGAUCCCUAGCCUUGUUCAGUGCAUUAAGGAUCCAGCAUUUGCCCUGAGCUGUAGUAUAAGUUGCAGACACAGCUUGGAUCCCGCAUUGCUGUGGCUGUGAUGUAGGCUGACAACUCUAGCUCCAAUUUGACCCCUAACCUGGGAACUUCCAUAUGCCUCAGGUGCAGCCCUAAAAAAGAAAAAAACAAAAAACAAAAAACAAACCACCUUUGCUUUUCUCUGUCUCACUUCCCUCACCUCCAAAACUGCAACAGUAAUACUGUAAAAGUGGCAAUUCCAUCAGGAAACAGAUGCAACACUCAACGGUAAGGGAUUUCAUGCAGGUACCAAAGCUGCGUACAGUUUAGGAAAUCAAAAAUGGCUCUGAAGCCAACUCGUUGGUCUAGAGGUGUGCUUCUUUCUUAGGGCACAAGAAAGACCAGGAAGAGUCCAGAGACUGACAAGAGUGGUAACUAUCUCCAUCCCUGGAUCUGCAGGGUUAAAAAGGGACCGGUGUUAGAGAAGGCUAAAGACAGCACAGAACCAUGGGAGAGGACCACCCAGCAGGAGUUCUCAAUGCAAAUGCAAUGCAUGCAAUGCUAUUCCUGGAACCCAUUCCACACAAGGAAAAAGCAAAGAGCACCCGGCUCUCCAACCUCUCAGCCAGUGACCAUCCG